GAAGGGACCUAGCGUAGUUCGGAAUUACUGGGCUUAAAGAGUUUGUAGGUGGUUGAAAAAGUUGGUGGUGAAAUCCCAGAGCUUAACUCUGGAACUGCCAUCAAAACUUUUCAGCUAGAGUUUGAUAGAGGAAAGCAGAAUUUCUAGUGUAGAGGUGAAAUUCGUAGAUAUUAGAAAGAAUACCAAUUGCGAAGGCAGCUUUCUGGAUCAUUACUGACACUGAGGAACGAAAGCAUGGGUAGCGAAGAGGAUUAGAUACCCUCGUAGUCCAUGCCGUAAACGAUGUGUGUUAGACGUUGGAAAUUUAUUUUCAGUGUCGCAGCGAAAGCGAUAAACACACCGCCUGGGGAGUACGACCGCAAGGUUAAAACUCAAAUGAAUUGACGGGGACCCGCACAAGUAGUGGAGCAUGUGGUUUAAUUCGAAGAUACGCGCAGAACCUUACCAACACUUGAGCAUGGCUGUCGUCAGCUCGUGUCGUGAGAUGUUGGGUUAAGUCCCGCAACGAGCGCAACCCUCGUUAUUAGUUGCCAUCAUUUAGUUGGG
rnacentral:rRNA from 1 species